rnacentral:rRNA from 1 species
GACAUACCUAUCGUUGCUUCGGCGGAUCGCCCCGGGCGCCUUGCGCGCCCCGGAUCCAGGCGGCCGCCGGGGGACCUUAACUCUUGUUUUUACUGAGAAUCUUCUGAGUCGUUUUUACAAAUAAAUAAAAACUUUCAACAACGGAUCUCUUGGUUCUGGCAUCGAUGAAGAACGCAGCGAAAUGCGAUAAGUAAUGUGAAUUGCAGAAUUCAGUGAAUCAUCGAAUCUUUGAACGCACAUUGCGCCCGCCAGUAUUCUGGCGGGCAUGCCUGUCUGAGCGUCAUUUCAACCCUCAUGCCCCUAGGGCGUGGUGUUGGGGAUCGGCCAAAGCCCGCAAGGGACGGCCGGCCCCUAAAUCUAGUGGCGGACCCGUCGUGGCCUCCCCUGCGAAGUAGUGAUAUUCCGCAUAGGAGAAGCGACGAGCCCCUGCCGUUAAACCCCCAACUUUCUCAGGUUGACCUCAGAUCAGGUAGGAAUACCCGCUGAACUUAAGCAUAUCAAUAA